rnacentral:lncRNA from 10 species
GAUAUGAAGUCUUCAUCUUUGAGGAAUGCUCAGUAUAGCAGCAGGAAAACAGGUACAGGAAUAAAGUUUGUGCUCACAUACUUUUGCUGUGUUUCAGUAUUAAAAAGGCAAAAUUGAUGAAGCCUACAUGAAGAGAAUAAGAUCAGGGAAGUCUUCGAAGAGAAGUGGUUGACUCUCAUCUUGAAAGAUGGGUAGAAAUUCUCCAAGAGGGAAAGGGAGAGGAAUGGUUCAGGCAGAGGAGGAAGCACAAGGCAGGCACACAGGUAUGGAAGUGUGAGGCUUGGGCAGGGACACUGCCUUAUGUCUUGAGCAUAGCACUGUCACAUGGUGAGAAUGGUGGGAGAUGGGGUGGAAAGGUAGUGCGCUUCAGAUUAUAAAUGGCUUUGUACACACAAAUGCCACUGGUGGUGGUUUUUGAGCCAAAGACAGACAGUGCAGUUGUCCUGUACCUCUUCCAUUGUCCUCUCAGAGUCACUGUUCAUUCACCUCCACCUGCUUGUGACCUAGAGGGACGACCUGUUGUAGACAACAUCAAUGAGCUUCUUUGGCCUUUGGCUUCCAGCAGGGUUUGGCCAAUGAAGACAGAGGGAAGAAAUCAAAAGGAGGGAGACUGAAAUUAGGAUAUAUAUUCUCUUGACAGCACCUGUCAGGCAGCCCUUCCCACAUGGCUCUGACUCCCUAGGAUUGGGACUCACUCCCGCUCCUUGCAGCUUCUGACAGAGAGGUGGCAAAUGUGCCUCACCAAUACCAGCACCAAGGGAUAGAACCAUCUUCUUGAUGUUUACAAAUAUUCCUUUUAUGAACUUUCUCCAAACUACCCAAUUUGAGGUGCCCAAUGUUAUGUGCCAGCCCCCUGAUUGACGCAUAACUUAAAUAAAUAAUAAAAUAAAUGUGACUGUGGGGAGGGCUAAGGCAAAGAGACCUUAGCACAAGUGGCAUAAGACACGAAGUUCCAGGGCAUACGGUUUAUAUAAAAAACAAUGGUCUGUUGAUUGCUUUGUGGCUGUUAGUCUGAAACCAGCUGGAGACCUGGCAUGGCUUCUUGGAGAGUGUCCUCAGUUUGGUCUCAGAAUGAGUCACUCAUGAGAGGAUUGAAGGGCAACACUGUGAAAUGCUGUUCCCCAUCUUCAUGGGUAGAUUGGCCUCAAGGAGAAGGCCUUGAAAUAAUCUGUCUCAUGUCAAGACAGUUAUUCUUCUUAGGAUGGCUGCCAGGGAAUAGAUGAAAGGCAGAAGUGGCGAUGGGUGACUGAUGUGGCACACUUAUGAAGAAAAGCCUCUUUUUCCAUGCUUGUUUUUCCUCCCCAAGGAGCCAACAGAGUUUCUAUUCUCCAACUCUGCUCUUCACCUUACCCAAGUCAUUGCAGUCACCUGGAGUCACGGAAAUGACCAUGAUUGCCUGAACUUUCAUGACUUCUGUGGAUAACUGUGGUUGCAGAAAAGAGAAAACCUGGACCGUGAGGGACAUUUCACUCCCUGGGCUUUGGCCUCCCUACAGCGUUGGCUCAGCUCUAGCUACUUGGAAGGUCGUGGCAAUGCUGUCUCAGAAUGUCCGUUUCUAGAGUACAGAGAAGAAAUUCUAGCUUGACGUCCACGUGCAUUUGUCUGUGUUUCAGAGGAAAUUCCAAUUCUAAACUCUUGGAAGAAACAAUUUCUCGGCAUGCUGAAGAGAAUUGCUGUUUUUUGGCACCUGAAACACUUUUACCCAAGGGUUCUGAUUAUUUAAAUAAUUGGUAUGCUAUAAAUAUUCUGGUUGACAGAAAUGUGGUUUAAUGUAGAUGAGUUGUAAAAACAUGAGACAAACAUGCUCCAGGCUAAAAAUAUCUGGAUUAAAAAAGAAAAAGAAAAGAAGAGGUGGGAGAAGAGAGAGAGGAAGGGAGAAAGGAAGAAAAAAGGAAGGAAGGAAAGGAGGGAGGGAGGGAGGGAAGGAAGGGGAAAAGAGGGGAAAGCAGGCAGGCGAGCAACUAGCUCCCUGAUUUUAUUCCAUUGACUUAUUUAACAUUUUAAUCAAGUUUCUUCCUUUGGAGUAGCAAUUUAGUGAAUAUGGCACAUUUUCAGAUGUCUGGGUUCUUUUGGCUGACUGACUUACAUAAAACUUUCAGUUACUGUGCACAAUGUGUUGUUUCAGCAUAGACCAAAACAAUUUUUCAUACAAGUAUUUCUUUGAAAAAGAAUUGCUGAAAAAUAUCCCGACUACCUAAACCCAAUCUAUACUUUUAACCGAGGACACUGAAUUCUCUAGGCCCUAAGAGGAAAUAUCAGUGAAAACUGUAGCCUCUGUCUGCUUAUAGUAAUUCGUUGUAACAACACUUUUGGCCAUCACACAAAUGGAUCAUUGACUACAAAUAAGGAACAGUGAAGACUUCCUGAACUUUUUUUUUCCUUUCUUAGUCAUUUCAUGUCUUAGAGCUAAAGUUUCUUUCUGUGAGAUUUAAAACUAAAAAUAUAUGAGUUACAAAUUUAGCAACUGUAACUUUUUUGCUAAGACAUAAUAUUUGGAUGCAGCUCUUAUCCUGGGGCAGAUCACACACUUUGAUACUUGAAGAAAAUGAGUCAAGAACAUGUUUUACAUUGGGGAAACUUGGCAGUCGUUGGUUAACUAAAGAACUUUUGAAGCGAAUCAGAAUGUUGGCUUGCCUUUAGCUUUAAAAAUGAUUUUGUUUUAACAUAUGUUAGCUGAAGCAAAAAAUAAUACAGUAGGAGCUAUGCGUCUAUCAGAGUGACUGACAGAUUGAAAUUCUCUAGAAAAAUAGAUUAUUUUCCCUCAAAGAGAGUAAAGUUUUGGUUUUCAAAGUCAAUCAGAAAACUAACAAUUUGGGCAGAAGAGGAAUCAGCUUCUCUUUUUGAGACAGUAUAUUUCUAAUGAUUUUUAUGGAGACUAUAAUAAGGAUCAGGAAACAAAGCUUGAUAUGGACAUGUUUUUAGCUAGCAGAUUGAAAGGAAAUAAUGGCAUGAAAUAAAGUUUUUUUUUUUUUUAAAUACUGACAGAGUUCUUAUUUCUUUUAUAUUGUCUGGAAUAAAAUUGAUAAAUGAAAAAAAUCUGUAACAGUUUGGUUCUCCAAUACUAGUCAUUUUUUUUGGUUAAAACUUUGUCAUAAGGCCAGGCACAGUGGCUUACGCUUGUA